rnacentral:rRNA from 1 species
UACGUAGGCAGCAAGCGUUGUUCGGAAUUAUUGGGCGUAAAGAGUAUGUAGGUGGUGUCGUAAGUUUGGUGUGAAAUCUCCCGGCUUAACCGGGAGGGUGCGCCGAAGACUGCGAUGCUGGAGUAUGGGAGAGGGAAUCGGAAUUCCUGGUGUAGCGGUGAAAUGCGUAGAUAUCGGGAGGAACACCUAUGGCGAAAGCAGCUGCCUGGGCCUUUACUGACGCUAAGACUCGAAAGCUGGGGGAGCAAACAGGAUUAGAACCGUACCUCG